AUGGGUGGUAAUGCCGGAUGGGCCGGGCUCCUGCAUGGGGGUCCGGGAAAGCUCUGGCGGCGUGGGAUGGGGUCGCGUCCUAUCAGCUUGUUGGCGGGGUGAGGGCCCACCAAGGCUUCGACGGGUAGCCGGCCUGAGAGGGCGACCGGCCACAUUGGGACUGAGAUACGGCCCAGACUCCUACGGGAGGCAGCAGUGGGGAAUAUUGCACAAUGGGCGCAAGCCUGAUGCAGCGACGCCGCGUGCGGGAUGGAGGCCUUCGGGUUGUAAACCGCUUUUGUUUGGGAGCAAGCCCUUCGGGGUGAGUGUACCUUUCGAAUAAGCACCGGCUAACUACGUGCCAGCAGCCGCGGUAAUACGUAGGGUGCGAGCGUUAUCCGGAUUUAUUGGGCGUAAAGGGCUCGUAGGCGGUUCGUCGCGUCCGGUGUGAAAGUCCAUCGCCUAACGGUGGAUCUGCGCCGGGUACGGGCGGGCUGGAGUGCGGUAGGGGAGACUGGAAUUCCCGGUGUA
rnacentral:rRNA from 1 species